GAUACACACACUGCAAAUCAGCAACAACUUUAAUUAGCUAGUCAUGACAAAGGUAAAAUUUUUAAUUGAACAUUGAAAUAUUAGAAUCAAGGGUACAAUAACAAACCAGCAACAACAAAUGUUAGGAUUCAAAUAACCAUGAACACCAUAAAUAGACUAAUAUUAAGUGAACUUUCAACACUCUUAACUAAAACAAGAUAGCAUAAAAUCAGAAUUGAAAUAUAGAAGUAAGGGUACAAUAACAAAUCAGAAACAAGUAUUUGGGUAACAACAAUCUCAAUUUAUAACUAUGAACACCAGAGAUUACCUAAUACCAAGUGACUUUUUGAAACUCUUAACUAACAUAAAACAACGUAAAAUUAGGAUUGAAAAACAGAAAUAAGACAGGCACAUUAUAUCAGCCAAAGAAGUAUCCUAUGCUAUGAUUUCUUAUGAAGAUGAUUCACAAUAAAACAAUUACUAAUUGUAGUAACAAGUCAUUUAGAAUGAACUUAGAGUUGUUUAAAGAUGCUCUCGCAGAAGGUGAAACACUUCCCAAAUCUUAUUAUGAGGUGAAGAAAUUGAUGCAUGAUCUUGGCCUUGGUUAUAUCGAUAUAGAUGCAUGUGUGAAUAAAUGUAUACUAUAUUGAAAACACUAUGAGCAUCUUAAUACAUGCCUUGUGUGUAAUACCCCUCGAUCGAAGUAUGGUUUAGAUAAACGUAAGAAGAUUGCUCAAAAGGUAGCAAAAUAUUUUCCUUUGAAACCUAGACUUCAGAGGUUAUUUAUGUCAAAGGAAAUUGCUAAGGAUAUAAGGUGGCAUCAAGAAAAGCUGUUAAUGAUGAUGUCAUUAAGCAUCCAGUUGAUGGUAAGGCAUGGCAAGAGUUUUGAUAAAGAGCAUGAUUGAUUUGCUAAAGAUCCUCACAAUGUGCGACUUGGGCUUGCAAGUGAUGGAUUUAAUCCAUUUGAAAAUAAGAGCAUCAAUUAUAGUAUGUGGCCAGUCAUUCUACUUCCUUAUAAUUUGCCACCAUGGAAAUAUAUGAAGGAGCCAUUUUUGUUUUUAUCCAUGCUUAUCCCAGGUAAGGAUUCUCCUGGCAAUGAUACUGAUGUGUAUUUGCAACCAUUAAUAGAUGCACAAAAGAAUUAUGGGAAAAUUGUGUGGAGACAUUUGAUUCAUAGAGUGACGAAAAAUUUCAGUUACAUGCUCCAUUAUUAUGGACUAUAGAUGAUUUUCUUGCAUAUGCAAUGUUAUCCAGGUGGAGUACAAAGGGGAAAUUAGCUUGUUUAGUUUACAACAAAAGACAUUUUCACUCACUCUAAAGAAUGGACGAAAACAAUGUUACAUGGGUCAUCGCAGAUACUUGGACAAACAACACCUUUGGAGGCAAAGUAAAAAAUUUGAUUGUAAGGUAGAGCUUCAAGAGAAACCUAAAGAAUCAUCAGGAGAAGAAACUUAUCCAGACAUCCUAUAUUUCAUCAAGUGUGAGAUUUGGAAAGCCAUGUAAUAAAAAGAAGCGUAAUCGAAUGGACCAAGAGUUGAAUUGGACUAAAAGGAGUAUAUUUUUUGAACUUCCUUAUUGAAAAACAUUGAAGCUAUGCCAUAAUUUGGAUG
rnacentral:misc_RNA from 1 species